CAAGGCAGAGAAAACAAUCGAAUGCAGCGCGCGUCUUACCGCACGGCAAUCAAAGGAAACAACUAUAACAACAACACAAAUACAUUCACGUUUAUACGGUUUGAUGAGCGUUGACUAUAGUGCUGUCAAAGUGUGCAUAUUAAACGUGUGUUGACCACGUGUGGGUGUAUGUGAGUGUGGGUGUGAAUGCGCGCAAGUGUACACGCACAGAUGAAAGCCUUUCUUGCGGGUACGCUGGAAUACGACUUUUUUUGGAAAUUUGUGAAUUGCAAAUUAAACAGCGCAGAUGAAAGAAAAUAAAUAAAUAACUAGAUGAAUAAAUAAGUAAAAAUGUAAAUAGAUGAGUAAAUAAGCGCUUUCUUAAGUGAAGUGAAUUCAGCAAGAAAGAAAACAACAAAUUGGUAUUCAAAUUAAAUAGAAAUAUGUUGAAUAAGUUGAGAAUUGUUAAUUAAGCAAUCGACCACCUGCUAGCCACCAGGCAGUGCUACAGUGAGGCAACAACGGAUGUGAGAAGAAUGCAAAUAAAUGAGUGAAGGGAAAGUGUUAAUCAAAAGCAAGUCAUCACAGCACAGCUGGUGCCGCAGUAAAGUAUGCUAAAAUGCGAGCACAAAAAUACCUGAGUGGCAAUUAAUUAUGUGUAACCUUGCGUCGCAAUGACGUCGUGGCCUCGCUACAAUUGUGCAGUGUUUCUAAAGGCUAGCCAAGGUAGUACUUGAGUCGAAAGUCGGGCUACUGCUGGCCAUCGCAUACAAAAAUACUCGCACCAUCGCGGUACGGUUAUUCUCGUAUUUCGGCACGCACUUGCUACUUAACAACCCGCUGUCUGCUGACAACCUAUACAACAAAAAACCACAAAAACAAAAAAAAAAAAUAAGAAACGUAAUACAAUAUAAAAAAAAAAAUCCACCAUUGAUUUAAUGCUGUGUACCGUGCGCGUACGCAGUAAAAGUGAAGUGUGCCAAAGUGACGUGCUGAGUGGCAGUAGUGUUAGCAGUGGUAGUGAGUGGUCAGCGUCCAUUUUAUCUACUCAAAUUACGUUGCGCGUCGCAAAUACAAUUUAAGUACAAUUUGAUACUAUUUCGGUGCGUCGGUGGAUCGCAAGGGCCGCGUAAAGCCAAACGAAGCGAAUAAUAUUCGUGUUCGCAUGCAAGUGCUCGCUGACAGUUCCAAAAAUAUCCUAUCCUCAUAUCUGCAUAUAAGUACGCACAGUUGUCGCGGCACUUAUGCAUGUGCGCUGAUAUCCAACUGACAAGGCGAAGUGUGUGCGUGCGUGUGUGUCUUUGUCGGUUACUGAUUACUCAUACGCAGAGGCGUCAAGCUGAGUGCUCUGCGCACUUUUGUGUGUUCAAAGGAAAAAAAUGACUAAAAUGAAAGCAGUGCGCGCAGCAAUAAAUGACGAACUUGACGGAGUGAAAGCUUAAAGCGUUUGAAAACGAACAGUGAAAGUUGUGAAAUGAAAAAAAAAUUAGCUAGUUAAUCAAAAAUCGAAAAAAUUAUUAGCAUAAAAUUAAAUUGAAAAAAAAUAAUACAGUUAAGGUCAUUAUACAAAAUUUAAAAAAAUAUUUAAAAAUAUAAAAACAAAAAUAGGUUGAAAAAGCUGCUUGGAGGUGUAUAUUAAAUGUCGAUACAAAUUUAAUAUUGUGUGGGGAGUUAAAAAAAGUUAAUAAAUUUUAAGGCGAAUUAAUUCAGCGCCAUUUUUGCGGUUGUAAAUGUCCCACUAGACAUCGCUGAAAUUAAAAAAAACGAGCAAAAAACAAAAAAAAAAAGAAAUUUUAAUUAACAGUUUUCGCAAAAAUUUAAACCAAAUUAAAAGAAACAUAUCAAAUUUUAGUCUGAUUUACUACUUUACGCCUCUUCAAGUAUGCAAAGCCAAUAUACAAAAAAUUCAUUAACUAACAAAUAAUUUCGUUCAAACUUUAAUAUAUCUGCAACAACAAGCAGUUCGUUAAAUAAACCAAAAAUAUUACGAUAAAAAAGUUUAUUAAAAAUUAAAAAGUUCUGAAGUAAAAAAAAAAAUAAAAAAUAAUACAAGCAAAAAUUUAUAUAAAAAUAAUUCUACCUAAAUAUGCAUGCAUGUGAGUGAUUACCUAUACAUAUACAUGCAUAAAUACAUACUCAAUUUCAUAUUACUCUAAAAAAUUGCUUGCAGCUGUUCCUACUAAACGCAAACAAACUUAACUGCGAAAAUUGCAUUUUCCAACAAUUCGCUUAGUGUUAUUAUUGUAAUCGAGUUUCCGUGCAUUCCACUGCAAUAACCGAAUAAAUCUGUGUCAAGUAAAAUUUGCAGGAAUUCGCUCCACUUACGCCCGGGUAGUGUAGUGCGUGCUUGUGGUAAAUAAAGCAACAACAAGAGUGAGAUCAAUUGCAUACAUAUAUAAAUGGCAAGUGUAUGUAGUGGUAUGUGUAUGUGUAUUGGGUAGUGUGUUUGUAUGUGUGCGCCGGGUACACGUGCUCUUGAAAAGCCGCUUAUGUGGAUUUCAUCAAACAAAAGGCAGUGAAAGCUGUUCAAGUUUUACGCCAAGUAAUCGUCUCACUUACACACAAUUGGCUUAUUAAUAACACCGCAACAACAACAAAGUCAAACAUGAGCAAAGCAAAUCUAAAAGAGCUUAUAAAGAAUUAACCGAAGGAAUAGCAACGGAAAGAGUUUACGCCAAAAAAUAAAUAAAUUAAAUUAAAUUGUCGAAGGGAGUGAACGGGAAAAUAUGGAAGGAUUGCAAAAGCAUUUGAUCAGCAAAAAGUAAUAUUCCUUAUUGACCGUUUUACCCUAUGGGAAGAAGUCAUGAUGCACAACGCCCCUGCCAUCGAAAC